ACUCCUCGGGAGGCAGCAGUCGGGAAUUUUGCACAAUGGACGCAAGUCUGAUGCAGCGACGCCGCGUGAGGGAAGAAGGCUUUCGGGUUGUAAACCUCUUUUGUAUGGGAGGCCCCCUUUGGGGGAUACAGUACCAUGCGAAUAAGUCACGGCUAACUACGUGCCAGCAGCCGCGGUAAUACGUAGGUGGCAAACGUUAUCCGGAAUUACUGGGUGUAAAGCGUUCGUAGGCGUUUUAGAAGGUCUCUGAUUAAAUACCAAAGCUCAACUUUGGGGAGGUUGGAGAAACCACUAGAAUAGAAGGGUAUCGAGGUGAGUGGAAUUUGUGGUGUAGCAGUGAAAUGCGUUGAUAUCACAAGGAACACCAAUGGCGAAGGCAGCUCACUAGGUAUUACUUGACGCUGAGGAACGAAAGCGUGGGGAGCAAACGGGAUUAGAUACCCCGGUAGUCCACGCCCUAAACGAUGGACACUAGAUUUUGGCAGUAUCGACCCUGUCAGAAUCGUAGCUAACGCGUUAAGUGUCCCACCUGGGGACUACGGCCGCAAGGCUAAAACUCAAAGGAAUUGACGGGGACCCGCACAAGCGGUGGAGCAUGUGGUUUAAUUCGAUGUUAACCGAAGAACCUUACCGGGGCUUGACAUCUAGCUGCAUAUACCAGAGAUGGUAUAGCCUUCGAGGGUGCUAGACAGGUGCUGCAUGGNUUGUCGUCAGCUCGUGUCGUGAGAUAUUGGGUUAAGUCCCGCAACGAGCGCAACCCUCAUUAUGUG
rnacentral:rRNA from 1 species